GGCAACGAUCAGUAGCGGGUCUGAGAGGAUGAUCCGCCACACUGGGACUGAGACACGGCCCAGACUCCUACGGGAGGCAGCAGUGGGGAAUUUUGGACAAUGGGCGCAAGCCUGAUCCAGCCAUGCCGCGUGUCUGAAGAAGGCCUUCGGGUUGUAAAGGACUUUUGUCCGGGAGCAAAUCCCAGUGGUUAAUACCUACUGGGGCUGAGAGUACCGGAAGAAUAAGCACCGGCUAACUACGUGCCAGCAGCCGCGGUAAUACGUAGGGUGCAAGCGUUAAUCGGAAUUACUGGGCGUAAAGCGUGCGCAGGCGGUUGUGCAAGUCUGAUGUGAAAGCCCCGGGCUUAACCUGGGAACGGCAUUGGAGACUGCACGACUAGAGUGCGUCAGAGGGGGGUAGAAUUCCGCGUGUAGCAGUGA
rnacentral:rRNA from 8 species